rnacentral:rRNA from 1 species
AUUGAACGCUGGCGGCAUGCCUUACACAUGCAAGUCGAACGGCAGCACGGGUGCUUGCACCUGGUGGCGAGUGGCGAACGGGUGAGUAAUACAUCGGAACAUGUCCUGUAGUGGGGGAUAGCCCGGCGAAAGCCGGAUUAAUACCGCAUACGAUCUACGGAUGAAAGCGGGGGACCUUCGGGCCUCGCGCUAUAGGGUUGGCCGAUGGCUGAUUAGCUAGUUGGUGGGGGAAAGGCCUACCAAGGCGACGAUCAGUAGCUGGUCUGAGAGGACGACCAGCCACACUGGGACUGAGACACGGCCCAGACUCCUACGGGAGGCAGCAGUGGGGAAUUUUGGACAAUGGGCGAAAGCCUGAUCCAGCAAUGCCGCGUGUGUGAAGAAGGCCUUCGGGUUGUAAAGCACUUUUGUCCGGAAAGAAAUCCUUGGCCCUAAUACGGUCGGGGGAUGACGGUACCGGAAGAAUAAGCACCGGCUAACUACGUG